GACGAACGCUGGCGGCGUGCUUAACACAUGCAAGUCGAACGGAAAGGCCCUGCUUUUGUGGGGUGCCCGAGUGGCGAACGGGUGAGUAACACGUGAGUAACCUGCCCUGGACGGUGGGAUAACUUCAGGAAACCGGGGCUAAUACCGGAGAGGAGCUCGUGCAGCAUGGGGGGGGUCGGAAAGUUUCGGCGGUUGGGGCUGGACGCGCGGCUUAUCAGCUGGUUGGUGGGGUAGCGGCUUAGCAAGGGGUUGACGGGUAGUCGGCACGGGAGGGUGAACGGCCACCAUGGGCCUGCGGUACGCCGCAGACUGCUACGGGGGGCAGCGGUGGGAAAUAUUGCACAAUGGGCCGACGCCUGUUGCAGCAGCGCCGCGUGCGGGAUGAUGGCCUUCGGGUUGUAAACCGCUUUAGCCUGUGACGAAGCGUGAGUGACGGUAAUGGGUAAAGAAGCACCGGCUAACUACGUG
rnacentral:rRNA from 1 species